CCCUUAGAUGUUCUGGGCCGCACACGCGCUACACUGAAGGAGGCAGCGUGUACUCCUGGAUCGAAAGAUUUGGGUAACCCGCGAAUCUCCUUCGUGCUAGGGAUUGAGGUUUGCAAUUAUCCUUCAUGAACGAGGAAUUCCCAGUAAGUGCAAGUCAUAAGAUUGCGCUGACUACGUCCCUGCCCUUUGUACACACCGCCCGUCGCUACUACCGAUUGAAUGAUUUAGUGAGGACUUCGGACUGGGACCGAUGCGGCUUUCGGGCUGCGUCGGUAUUCUGGAAAGAUGUCCAAACUGUAUCAUUUAGAGGAAGUAAAAGUCGUAACA
rnacentral:rRNA from 1 species